rfam:Gossypium raimondii Chr07_contig_1147, whole genome shotgun sequence.
UGUUAAAAAUUCCAUUUAUUUCUAUUGUUAAAAAUCGGCAUGCCUGAAGGAAUAAUUAGACAUGCUGACAUACAUGGAUCAAUUUUUAAUAGUAGAAAUAGAUGAAAGUUUUAACU